ACAACCAAGGGACUUUUAUGUCUUUAUGUUCUUGUCAGUUUAAUAUCUGAUACGUCCCUUACCCGGGGGCCAUAUAUUAAAUUGAUUUAUGGAGCAGGGAGCUGGAAUAGGGGCUUGCGCCCUCCACUCCACGCAUCGACCUGGUAUUGCAGUAUCUAGGGGAAGAGUGCACCCCCU
ensembl:snRNA U2 U2 spliceosomal RNA